ACUAUGGCAGGGCGUGAACCACUCGAUCCCAUCCCGAACUCGAACGUGAAAAGCCCUAGCGCCUAUGAUACUGUAGCUAUAAGCCGCGGAAAAGUCGGUCGCCGCCAGGC
rnacentral:rRNA from 1 species